rnacentral:rRNA from 1 species
AUAAGCGGAGGAAAAGAAACCAACAGGGAUUGCCCUAGUAACGGCGAGUGAAGCGGCAACAGCUCAAAUUUGAAAUCUGGCCCCUCUGGUGCCCGAGUUGUAAUUUGCAGAGGGUGCUUUGGUGUUGGCUGUGGUCCAAGUUCCCUGGAACAGGACGUCACAGAGGGUGAGAACCCCGUACGUGGCCGCCAGUCUUCGCCGUGUAAAGCCCCUUCGACGAGUCGAGUUGUUUGGGAAUGCAGCUCUAAAUGGGAGGUAAAUUCCUUCUAAAGCUAAAUAUUGGCCAGAGACCGAUAGCGCACAAGUAGAGUGAUCGAAAGAUGAAAAGCACUUUGGAAAGAGAGUGAAACAGCACGUGAAAUUGUUGAAAGGGAAGCGCUUGGAGCCAGACGUGCCCGUAGUUGCUCAGCCGGGGUUCUCCCCGGUGCACUCUUCUGCGGGCAGGCCAGCAUCAGUUUGGGCGGUUGGAUAAAGACCUGCUAAACGUACCACCCUCCGGGGUGGACUUAUAGGGUAGGCGGCAUACAACCAGCCUGGACUGAGGACCGCGCAUCUGCUAGGAUGCUGGCGUAAUGGCUGUAAGCGGCCCGUCUUGAAACACGGACCAAGGAGUCUAACAUCUAUGCGAGUGUUUGGGUGUCAAGCCCGAGCGCGUAAUGAAAGUGAACGCAGGUGGGAGCCCUUCGGGGCGCACCAUCGACCGAUCCUGAUGUCUUCGGAAGGAUUUGAGUAAGAGCAUAGCUGUUGGGACCCGAAAGAUGGUGAACUAUGCCUGAAUAGGGUGAAGCCAGAGGAAACUCUGGUGGAGGCUCGCAGCGGUUCUGACGUGCAAAUCGAUCGUCAAAUUUGGGCAUAGGGGCGAAAGACUAAUCGAACUAUCUAGUAGCUGGUUCCUGCCGAAGUUUCCCUCAGGAUAGCAGUAACGUUUUCAGUUUUAUGAGGUAAAGCGAAUGAUUAGAGGCAUGGGGGUUGAAACAACCUUCACCUAUUCUCAAACUUUAAAUAUGUAAGAAGUCCUUGUUACUUAAUU